AUAGCGGACACUUCUUCUGUGCGCUUGUGGUAGGGCUUGAACAUGUUCACGUGGAGCAUGCAUCUGCCCCCUGCCCCGGCGCAUGGGCCGAUCACAUAGGUGGUAUCGCAGAUUUGCUCUACCACCUUGUAUGGGCCUUGCCAGGAGGCCUGCAGCUUGUCAUUCUUGACCGGUCGUAGGAUUAACACCUUCUGCCCGAUCUACAAGUUGCGGUCCCUGGCUUCUCUAUCAUACCAUCUGCGCUGUCGUUGCUGGGCCGCCUGGAGGUUGGUGCGUACGGUCUGGGUCAAAGCCUCCAAGCGUUCCCGGAACUCCAGCACAUAUGGUACAAUAGGGGUGCCAUUAGUUGUUACUUCCCCCUCCCAGUGUUCCCGGAUUAGAUCGAG